rnacentral:rRNA from 1 species
CAGCCGCCACGGUAAUACGUAGGUCCCGAGCGUUGUCCGGAUUUAUUGGGCGUAAAGCGAGCGCAGGCGGUUAGAUAAGUCUGAAGUUAAAGGCUGUGGCUUAACCAUAGUACGCUUUGGAAACUGUUUAACUUGAGUGCAGAAGGGGAGAGUGGAAUUCCAUGUGUAGCGGUGAAAUGCGUAGAUAUAUGGAGGAACACCGGUGGCGAAAGCAGCUCUCUGGUCUGUAACUGACACUGAGGCUCGAAAGCGUGGGGAGCGAGCAGGAUUAGAUACCCCCGUAGUCCCUGUCUCUUAUACA